CCAUUCAAAGAAUCCAUUCCUGGCGUCUCACCUGAAAAGAUUCAUGUUCAAGAUAAACUAAUAUUCUGCCCAAAUGGACACUUUGGGAGCGAGGAGCAGAACGACUAUUUUUCAUGGAAGGAAAUAUCGCGUGAUGUAUUAUUUAUGCAGAAUAUUUUGGGUCAGGGUGAGUUCGGUUUGGUCGUGAAAGCUAUGUUGACCAGUGAAGAGACUGCGGAUAUUCCAGUUGCUGUAAAGAGUGUUAAAGGUAAACAUACUCGUAAGCGUCUGGCCCUCUUUCCAGUCAAAUAAUUACAAGUACGUCUAAAAAGUUG
rnacentral:lncRNA from 1 species